AUGAAUCUGCGAACGGCUCAUUAUUAACACCGUAAUCUACCCAGUUUUCGUAUCCAAAACGGAUAUCUGCGUUAAUUUUGGAGCUAAUACGUGCACCAACGUGCUGCUAGCAAUAGUGGCACGCACUUAUUAGAUCAAGGCCGAUUGGGGCAACCCUUUUGGUGACUCUGAAUAAUUUUGCGGAUCGUAUGGUCUUGUACCGACGACGUACUGGUCGAGCGGGUGCCCUAUCAACUAUUGAUGGAAGUCUAUGUGUCUUCCAUGGUUGUAACGGGUAACGGAGAAUAAGGGUUCGACUCCGGAGAGCUAGCCUUAGAAACGGCUAUCACAUCCAAGGAAGGCAGCAGGCGCGUAAAUUACCCACUCUCAAUUCGAGGAGGUAGUGACUAUCAAUAACGAGACAGAUCUCUUUGAGGUCUGUCAUUGCAAUGAGCACAACUUAAAGACUUUAACGAAGUCUAUGGGAGGGCAAGUCUGGUGCCAGCAGCCGCGGUAAUUCCAGCUCCCAACGUGUAUAUCGUCAUUGCUGCGGUUAAAAAGCUCGUAGUUGGAUCUUAGCUCAUGUCGGUAGUUCUCCAUGUGAGAUACUGCUCGGCUGAGCUGUUUCGCCGGUUUUCCGUAGUUUCGGCUGCGGUGACUGGUGUUGUAACUUUGAUUAAAUCAAUGUGAUUAAAACAGGCGUUUGCUUGAAUGCUUUAUCAUGGAAUAAUAGAAUAUGACUUCGGUCCAUUCUGUUGGUCUUGGGAUCGAAGUAAUGAUUAAAAGGAACAACUCGGGGGCAUCCGUAUCGCUGCGUGAGAGGUGAAAUUCUUGGACCGCAGCGAGACGACCUAUUGCGAAAGCAUUUGCCAAGAAU
rnacentral:rRNA from 1 species